rnacentral:lncRNA from 1 species
CGAGAAAUGAAGGCUAACCCAAAAGGACCUUCGGAGAGCUAACCUACAAGGAUUCUCAGUCUGUCAACUUCAACAACAAGGAAGGGCUAACCUUCAAGGACCCUCAGCCCAUCAACUUCGGCAACAAGCAAGGGCUAACCUUCAAGGAUCUUCAGCCCGUCAACUUCGGUAACAAGCGAGGGCUAACCUUCAAGGACCCACAGUCCACC